ensembl:snoRNA SNORA70 Small nucleolar RNA SNORA70
UUGCAGUCAGUUAAGCUGACUGUGCUCUUUUCCCCGAGGGGGCCUGGUGUACCAUGGCUGCAAACAGCCUCUUCGCAGGGUAUGCAUCAUGGUGCCUAUAUGGGUUGCUCUAAGGGACCCUGGAGACAGCC